rnacentral:sRNA from 1 species
CGAUAGCUAUCGGAAGAAACGGCAUCCUUUUUGCUUUGUUUUUCAAACAAAACAAAAAGAUAUAGUGGACAGCGGGAAAAGCU